CUCAGGCGGCUGAGUCACUGCAGCCCGGCGCGGCCCGGAGAAGACGAGCGCAGCAGCCGCCGCCGCCUCCCGGGCUCCCGGGCUCUCGGGGUCCGGGGCCUUUGCACUUGUCUUUUCCAGCUGGGAACAAAGCCUUUUGCUGUUGCCGUGGCGACUGCAGGCCUUCACUUUUAAUCCCCCUCAUUUUCCAGUUCAUUCUCUGCUUAUUUUCUGGUCAGUCCGUGACCCUGUAGGCGGGCUUGGACCGGCGAUCGAUUUGCCGCCCUCAGGGCGCUGGGCGGCCGGCUGCCUCUGAGGCUGGGGCGGCCUCCGCGGUCUCCAUGGUAACGGCCUCGCCGGCGUCUCCGCCUAGAGGGAAGAUGCGGCUUGCCUGGCCCGCCGCCUCGCCCCCGGCCUCACGGUGGGACCCUGGGUACUGAGGACGAAGGUCCCCGGCGCCGGCCCGCGGGGCAACGGGCAAUAGGUGAGAGCCGGACGCCGGCGAGCGAAGGAGGCGGGUGCCGGGCGACUCCAGCGGCCGCCCCUGCCCCUCCCCCGCACCCACGAACACGCUCGCCCGAUAUAUUGCAGAGGCUUCUCCGGUCGCCGCUGCGCCAGUUUUUUUUGUUUGUUGUGUUUUCCCUGGCAAACAGCUGGAGAAAGAGCAGCUCAUGGAGAGGCUGAGAGAAGCGGUUUUCGCGUCCUACCCAAACUGGGAGAGUAACCUUCAGCAGCUGGACUCACCGAUUGGUUUUCCUUCAUUUUCAGUGAAAUCCCAUUCUCUGGCUGGAGACACAGAUGGCCUCAAAUGAGAGAGAUGCUAUAUCGUGGUACCAAAAGAAGAUUGGAGCCUACGAUCAGCAGAUAUGGGAAAAGUCAAUCGAACAGACUCAGAUUAAGAAGACCGGAUUGAAGCUUGCUCUCUGGAGAGGCUGAGCCAGAGAAGUUCUGGAUUCUGGAAGACCAGA
rnacentral:sRNA from 1 species